AGAUGUAUAUAUAUAGAUAUAUAUAUAUAGAGAGAGAGAGAGAGAGCAGCCAAUAUGUGGUCUAUGCAAAAAGAAAUAGCAAUUUCCAGAAAAAUGGUAAAAUACUAGAAAGCAUUUGUUCUCAUUUUGCUGCCGUUCAAGUGAUAAUUGUGCUUAGGAUAUGAACUCCUGUAUUAUCUUUUCUUGAGUAUGUGUUCCAUAUUAAAAGUAGGUAUGUCCUUUAAUUUUGGAUGCAAAAGAACAAUUCCUGGAUGCACAAAAGUUCCCAAAUAUUCUGUCCUGCAGAAAUUAAAUACUGACUGCAUGUCCUACACCCAGCUAUGCCCGUUUGUGUACUUACACGAGUUUCCACAAGAGGGAAGAGUAGUCCUUCAUAAUGAAAGGCUGUUUAGCGCAAUACCUUGUUGCUUACUUAGGUAUUGGAUUGGAAAGAGAAUAAGUCACUGACAACAGAACAGUAGAGAUAUUUCUUUACAUAUGUUUUCUGGUGUAAUGAUAAUAAUAUUGUAUCCGCUAUAGCCAAAUUACACUUCACAUUUCACCUUGAGUGGAUAGCGAGCUCGCAAACACUUGUGGUUUCUGCUGCAGCUUCAUAGGCAGUCUUACACACCUAGAAAAAGGUGUUACCUCAAGGUAUAGAAAUUACCUCUUUGAUCUUCCAGAGCAGAUUUAUUCCACAAAGUGACAUUCAGGUGGCAACCAUCUGAAUUAGCAUACGUAUAGUACAGUGUUUUUUGUAAUAAGACAUAAAUAAUGAUUGUCUAAUGUGUACUGUACUGAACGUGUAAGCACAUCCAAAAUCUGUGGGAAAAUACUUGAAAAAAACCUCCUAUGCAAGACAUUUGUUGUAGGAAGCAAUUCUGCUGUUCAUGGGAGAUGGAGGCAUUUGCAGGUAGUUAACUUUCAAAGAUACUAUUUCACAUUUGUUAGCAGCCUGCAAAUCUGACUUUACAUUCUUGGUUUGCAAAUCUACUUUGCUGUAGAUAGGCUAUUGUGUUCCAGGUUUAUACUGUAUGUUAGAAGGCAGUACAGGAUAAACUUCCAGGCAUGUGGAUUCCUUGGUUUUCAACUGCAAAUUCCUGGAAAACUAGGCUUUGCAAUGGGGUUCUACAUCAGUGCCCAUAAAACCAAUUAAAAUGGUAUGUGUGAUUUAAGUGGAAUUCUGGUACCCGCAUCCCUUUGCAAGAUGCUUUUAAAAGCAUUAAAGACACAUUACAAAACUUAACUAGCACUUUCCUUCUGGUUGGUGGCAGAUACUCAGCUGUGCUUCCAUUUAACGCUUCUGUAUUAAAUAUCAGACUGGUUUUGAUGUAACUGAAGUUUGUUUGAUCUUAUUUUGGAGACCAAACCACAUGAAUAAAUGAAGCAGGAUAGCCACAUCAACUUAACUGAAACAUUGUCUCAUGUAUUCUGCUGUAAAAAAGCCACAGGUUUGGCUGAAUUUCUGGAAGUAUCAGUUCUGAAAAUUUUAACGUUAGCUGUCAGAAUUGCUGAUUCCUGUCAAUUUCCUCUGUUCUUUAACAGAGCUCUUGAAUAUGAAUGUUUGCAUUCUGGGGAAGUACAUCAGUGCAUAGAAGAAAGUUUAAUUUCUUUGGUUUAAGAGAACUCUUCUAGAGUUUACUUGCAGAAAAGAAUCAUAGCUGUUUCUCAGACUGCUCUUGAACGACGACCUGUCUGAUGAAUCUCAUGCAGGAGUGAUCCUAGAUUUCUAUUUUAGAGCGACAGAAAUCUCUAUAUAUGCAUGUUUGAAAAUAAAGUUGAUAUAUGGCCUGAAAUAGUUCUUAGUCAUCUCAACACUAGCUUGAGAUCCUGAACUGUUUUCAAUUAAAUGGCUUUUAGGUGAAUAUAGUGAGGAAGAAAGAAAUACUCCGAAAGCUCUCAUCCAUGAUAUUUGUCCUCAAUAAAGGUGUUUUGAUAGGAUGUUAAGCAUUAAAACAAAACAUUAAAUCAUU